UACCAGGUAGAAAUCAGACAAAGGGGUAGU
rnacentral:piRNA from 1 species